AUGUGGACCUGUCUUCGUCAGCGCUAUGAGCCCUCUGGUGAUGCCUUAUACCUUUCUGUGGUUCGUCAGGAGCAUGCUCUUCAGCAGGGUGACUCUACUGUUGAUGACUUUUAUGCACAGAGUUCUGCUAUCUGGCGCCAGCUUGAUUCUCUCCGCAGUGCUGGUCUUCGUACUUGCCCCUGCUGCCAGGCUGUCCAGGCCAAUUUGGAGUUUCAUCGCGUCUACGAGUUCUUGUCUCGGCUCCGUAAGGAGUUUGAGCCCCGGCGUGCUUAGUUGUUUGCUCGUGGCUGUAUUUCUCUCAUGGAGGCGCUUUCAGAGAUUCGUGCUGAGGAGACUCGCUUACGUGGUGCUGGUUUGCUGGAGGUUCCCUCUGUGCUCGCUACUCGGGCUUCUUCCACUCCACCUGCUGCACCGACCCAUUCUCGCUCGAGUGCUCCGCCGCUCUUGCCCACUCCUUCUGGAGGCUCAGGUCGCCCCCGUCCACAUUGUGACUACUGCAACAAUGAUGGUCAUAUUGAGUCCCAGUGCUACACAAAGCGGAAACACCUGCGCAAGGCGCGAUCAUCCUCCUCAGGGACUUCGUCA
rnacentral:rRNA from 1 species